rnacentral:rRNA from 1 species
UGAGUACGAGAUGCUACGGCAUCGAAGCAGUCUAUGUCAUACUUCCAAGAAAAGCUUGCAAUGUCAUAAACAAAUAAUGCCUGUACCAUAACCGACACAGGUGGGUAGGUAGAGUAUACUAAGGGGCGCGAGAUAACUCUCUCUAAGGAACUCGGCAAAAUGACUCCGUAACUUCGGGAGAAGGAGUGCCUUAUUUUUAUAAGGUUGCAAUAACAAGAUCCAAGCAACUGUUUACCAAAAACACAGGUCUCCGCUAAGUCGUAAGACGAUGUAUGGGGGCUGACGCCUGCCCAGUGCCAGAAGGUUAAAGAAGUUGGUUAGCAUUAGCGAAGCUGAUAACUGAAGCCCUGGUGAACGGCGGCCGUAACAAUAACGGUCCUAAGGUAGCGAAAUUCCUUGUCGGGUAAGUUCCGACCCGCACGAAAGGCGUAAUGAUUUGGAUACUGUCUCGGAGAGGGGCUCGGUGAAAUAGACUUGUCUGUGAAGAUGCGGACUACCUGCACCUGGACAGAAAGACCCUAUGAAGCUUUACUGUAACUUGAGAUUGAAAUUGGACUUUAUCUGCGCAGUAUAGGUGGGAGACGUUGAAAAUAUUCUUGCGGGAAUAUUGGAGUCAUCAGUGAGAUACCACUCUUAUAAUGUUAGAUUUCUAACUUUGUAUCAUUAUCUGGUCAAAGAACAGUUUCAGGCGGGCAGUUUGACUGGGGCGGUCGCCUCCCAAACGGUAACGGAGGCGCACAAAGGUUUCCUCUGAACGUGUAGAAAUCGUAUCUAGAGUGUAAAGGCAUAAGGAAGCUUGACUGUGAGACCUACAAGUCGAGCAGGGACGAAAGUCGGUCUUAGUGAUCUGACGGUGCUGAGUGGAAAGGCCGUCACUCAACGGAUAAAAGUUACUCUAGGAUAACAGGCUGAUCUCCCCCAAGAGUUCACAUCGACGGGGAGGUUUGGCACCUCGAUGUCGGCUCAUCGCAUCCUGGGGCGGUAGUACGUCCCAAGGGUUGGGCUGUUCGCCCAUGAAAGCGGUACGCGAGCUGGGUUCAGAACGUCGUGAGACAGUUCGGUCCAUAUCCGGUGUAGGCGUUAGAAUAUUGAGAGGAGCCUUCUUUAGUACGAGAGGACCGAGAAGGACAUACCUCUGGUGUACCAGUUAUCGUGCCAACGGUAAACGCUGGGUAGCCAUGUAUGGAGAGGAUAACCGCUGAAAGCAUCUAAGUGGGAAGCCCACCUCAAGAUAAGUAUUC